rnacentral:lncRNA from 1 species
UGUAAAACUAACCUCAUGAUGGCCGCCAUGUUUUAAGCAACUGUGUGCCCCUCUGCCAUGCCACCCUGCCUUGGAGCCAGCCAACUAUGAACUGAAACUUCUAUGAACUGGUUCAAAGAUAGCAGCAGACACACUGGAACUGAACUCUGGCUCAGCUGUGGUUCUUCCUGAGUCCCUCUCAGCCUCUCCUGGCACCAAACAAAGAACAGAAAAUCUUUUCAGAAGCCACCAGAUUUCCUCCAAUGUCUUGUUGGCUGUAACUGAGCCAUAUCUUCAUUCCUAAACCAGUCUCUGGGACCACCAUUUUGUAGAGUCAUCACGAUUCUGUAUCUAAAAAAAAAAGAUUCUAGGAUGGCAAGUGGGAAGCUCAGAGAAAUCAGUCUGGACAAGAGUGAGGAAGAAGC